GGAAACCCUAAUCUCUUAAGACAAAGGUGACAUCUCUUCUUCAGCUACUCGCCGUCAAAUCUGCAAUGUCAGUCGUCGACAGCAAGUCGCCCAUGCCAAUUAGGGUAAAAUCGGGGUUAGAGCUGUGUAUUGGAGCCUUGUUAUUGGUUCUCGCAUAUGGUAUUUCCUUUAAAGAAUUUGCAUACCCAAAUUUAAUUGCUUCAAAUUUCAAAUUUGUAAAUGCUUCUCGGAGAUUUUGUUAUCUCGUAAUGGGAAAUUUAAAGCAAUUAUGUUCAAUCCUAGUGCGCAGCAAAUCAGAUUCUACUUGUGCGUUAUCCACUUGGAAUCCAACACCAUUAUCUUUUUUUGCAAAUCGUGAUACGCCCGUUUCAAAUUCAGGGAUCAUGGUUUGACUGCGAAUGGUAUAGUUCCUACAUAAGGUUUGUUAGCCAACCCCCAUUAUCAACUCCAAUAAAUCAUCAAUAUUUUUUUUCCCUCGCUUAUAAUUAUGUUAUCUUUGAAUCUCUUAAGCUAUUGCCUCGUUUUGGUAUUCGUCAUAUUGUCCCUUCGAACUGACAGGGAAGUACUUUUUGUUUCUUAAGGAGAUUCCAACUUCCUACAUUUGUUUGUUUCUUUAAUUUGCCUCAUCUUAUUAAUAAUUUUGUCACUCCCUCGGGCUACAUUCUCUAUUUUUAUUGAUCAAAUAGCUAGUUCCUAGAUAUCUCUUUUUUUUUUCUCUAAUGCUAUAGAAGUUGUUGAGUAUAAAUAAUUAUUCACUGUAUAAGUUGAAUUUAAGUGAAAAUAACCUUGGAAUUUAGUAAUUGUAUAUCUUGGCAUUUGUAGCAUACUAUAUAUCUACUAACCAUAAUCAUAUGAGUAAUACAUUUACAUAGUUCAUCCAGCUGCUUUUUGGCUUGAUUUCACUUGGUUUUUCACAUUCAUAUUAUAUUUGUUCACCACAAACUUCACCAGGACCACAUAUUUUACAAGCCUAAAUUUUUUUUUUUGUUCAGAUUACAUAUUACGAAAAAGUGAGAAUUGACAAUAUAAAAUGAUAACAUGAACACAAAAUUUACGUGAAAAUCCAAGACGGAAAAAACAAUGGGCAAGGAGGAGAAAAAAACCACGGACAAAAAUUAUUUGUUACUCAUGGAUUUUUAACUUGAGAUAUUUUUUUCUUAAAAAAAGUUCAGUUGGAUGGUGAAAAGGGGAAGGAAUGUCAAUUAUUCUGUUAUGGUAUAUCUGUUUCAUCAGAAAUGGAAGGGUUGCUAGUAUUUUUCUCCCUUUUGCUCAAAAUGUAGCCAUUUUGUAUAAUUAUUAUGUAAAGUAAUUUAAUUUCGUUUUGCUUUCCCCUUUCACGCUCAACUAGUAAGCUAUAGGAAGUAUUGAUUAUAUAUUAGGUGAUGAAUUAGUAUAGUGAGAACUACUAUUAUCUAAAUUUAUGUCUAUUUUAGGAUUGCCAAGCUGUGGUGGCUAAGCUUGAACGUAGUUUCAAUUUGAAAGACUUUCUAUUCGUUGAUUAUGGUAUUAUUGUCAGGUUUUACCUGUAACAUCCCUUUACUUUUGAUUACUUGUUACCACAUGAUGACCUUUGUCUCAGCUUCUGUUUUAUUAUUUAUUGUAGCUAAUUAUGGGCUCAAUGCAAGCUUUGUCCAUAGUGAUAAAGAAGGCUAAUAUCAAUAGCUUUAUCAGUUGCUUGGUAUUCAUAUUUGUUGACAAAGUGUUUCAUUUUCCAAGCCAAGGCCAUGGUUGUCGACCAUGUAGUUAGGUCGGUGUUGGAAAAGAUGACAUAAUUGACAAGAACAGCAUAGCCUGGAAUGUAGAGAGGUUCAAGCCUUAUCAGUCACAUUGUUAUGCACAAGAAGCCCUCGCUUUCUCUCACUCACCUCUCCCCUUCACAUCCACAUCCAUGCAUAACGCGUUCCUUUAUUUAUUAAUGUCGUUCUCAAUACUUCGAGUAUCUAAUUCUGUCAACUGCUAGUUAGUUGAUUUUGUAACCUAAGAAAAUAUACUUCUAAUGACAUCAUGUACCUGAUGGCGACCAUUGAGAUGUUCUUUUGGUUAGUGUUUGUGUCAAAUGGUUUAUUGAACUAUCAACAGCAACACCAAAUAUGUUCAGCUGGUACAACCAUAAGUUUCUCUAUUAGAAUAUAUUUUUUUAUUUCAGUAUUUUCUUCGUGAAUAUUUCCAAAAAUCUAAGGUAAUGCUAUAUGAUGAAUGCUAAUCAUGCAAAACUAUGGACAAAUAUCUCUGCGUAUUAUCAUAUAUGUAGGUACAGUUGGUUUUGGUAUGCGUUGAUCCCAUAUUCAUUGGUAAAGAUACUAUUUUAAAGCACUAAAAUAUAGGACACCCUCCUACUCUCCCCCAACCGCACAAUAAAAAAGUUAAAAUUCAGUCGAAA
rnacentral:lncRNA from 1 species